GUCGUGAGAUGUUGGGUUAAGUCCCGUAACGAGCGCAACCCUUGUCCUUAGUUACCAGCACGUUAUGGUGGGCACUCUAAGGAGACUGCCGGUGACAAACCGAGGAAGGUGGGGAUGACGUCAAGUCAUCAUGGCCCUUACGGCCUGGGCUACACACGUGCUACAAUGGUCGGUACAAAGGGUUGCCAAGCCGCGAGGUGGAGCUAAUCCCAUAAAACCGAUCGUAGUCCGGAUCGCAGUCUGCAACUCGACUGCGUGAAGUCGGAAUCGCUAGUAAUCGUGAAUCAGAAUGUCACGGUGAAUACGUUCCCGGGCCUU
rnacentral:rRNA from 1 species